CCCCUUUAACGGGGCGCGUGCGUCGCCUAUAUUAUGUUUGUUCGCUCCGGCGGACUAUGGCGAUAAACGCGCGUGUAAUAACUAGACCGGACCCGGGUGCGAAUCCCGGCGGCUCCACCAAAUCUUCCUCCGCACGUUGGGCGGCGAGCAUGGGGCCGAAUAGGAUCGACGGAUGGCUAAAGACGUGGCUUUCGCCCGAAUGGGCUUCGUUACCAGCCCAUAUAUAGUAGUUGCCAACGACAACUAUGCUGAAGAGGUCGCUCUCGCUGCAUAGCAGCGCGGGUAUCUCGCACUUAAGUCCUAAUCUCUAGCAAGGUUAGGCGGGGUUCGGAGGCGCCUGGCAACAGAAGCCUCCACU
rnacentral:tmRNA from 1 species